rnacentral:rRNA from 1 species
GACAGAGGGGGCAAGCGUUGCUCGGAAUUACUGGGCGUAAAGGGCGCGUAGGCGGCCUCCGCAAGUCGACUGUGAAAUCUCCGGGCUUAACCCGGAAAGGUCAGCCGAAACUGCGGGGCUAGAGUGCAGAAGGGGCAACUGGAAUUCUCGGUGUAGCGGUGAAAUGCGUAGAUAUCGAGAGGAACACCUGCGGCGAAGGCGGGUUGCUGGGCUGACACUGACGCUGAAGCGCGAAAGCUAGGGGAGCGAACGGG